CUUUCUUCUCCUCCUUGGUGCCUUUCUGGGGAUUUACAGCCUGGCUUUGUUACUCUGAGCAGUGGGGAAAUGCGGGGUGUGAUUUUGUUUGAUUUCAGGCACUGAGACACACACAUUUUUGCUUUGAAUCCUGUUCUGCAGUACUUCUGGAGUGGGGAAAUUGCUGUUCAGAAAGCAGUCCACCUGGACAAGGCUAUAGCAGGGGUGGCUGUUACCAUUUGUAAAUUCUUUGUGCCCACAGGAAAUAAGUAAAUACAAAUUAACAUAUUUGCAUAGGCUUUAUGAAUAUGCAGCUUUGUUUUAUUUGGUCUAUAGGGCAUUCUGGUUUGACCUUUUACUUUGGUUCAUUCAGCCUCAAGGCAAAACUGCAGUUUGCCAAUUACAUGUUUAUUGUCGCUGUCAGCUCACCCACUGUAUAAUCCAAUAGUCUGGCGAUGUGACUGCAGCCUUUUUAAAAAUUAUUUUGCAGAAAGUGGGGUGAGCAUGAGAAUGAGUGCAGGCUAGAACUGGCCAAACCAGAUCUGGCUUUGGAAAUGGAUUAGAAUAUCUAUUGCUUUCAUCUCAGCCUCCACCCACACAGUCAAAUGCAUUGUAAUCAAGCAUUAAAGCAAACAAGCCUGGCUAAAUGCGUGACACUGAGAUUGGAUCACCUUCGCCAGGGCGAGGGGGGUAUGCCCUGCUCCUGGAGAUCUAGCAGGACUGACUUUUCCCAAGCGAGUGGAGACUUGUGAGAUGCGAUAUGGGUGACUCCCAGUUGUACAUGCUCAGCACGGCAGCUUUUGGCCUUUCCUAUUUGCUCACCAAUAGCGGUUUCCAUUCUCUGCUGAUACAGAUAUGCAGCUGUAUGGGAGGUUUGAGAAAGGGAGGACUCUGUGACUGGCUCAGUCUGCUCGCUGCACCCACUUCCCAGGCAACGGAUAUGACCGUAACUCACUGCGAGUGACACUGUAAUGCUGUAGCCCUUGGGGAGCUCCAAACAACUAGUCUCACCUUAACACUCAGAGACUCGUUGAUUUUAAGGCCAGAAGGGACGGUUGUGAUCACCUAGUCUGACAUCCUGCAUAACACGGGCCAGAGAACCUCCCCCGAGUGCUAAUUCCUGCGUUAAGUCCAUGACUGCUGGCUGUGCUGGAGUAGAUCUUUUAAAAGGCCAUCCAGACGUGAUUUAAAGACUGUCAGUGAUGGAGAAUCUGCCACAGCCCUAAUUUACGCUCAUUUUUGAAACAGGAAUGGUCUCAUUAAGAGGGUUUCCAUUAACCCAGGAAACUAACCAUUCUGGAAGGUGUUAAAACAUUCAGCGCCCAUCCUUAACCUGCAGGUUAAAGGAAAGCAGAAAGGUGUUCUGAAUCAACGUGCGAGAGCCAGGUAGCUGCUGCAGAAUGUCUUCAAUCUUAAAGAUGUUCGGAAGAGAAGACCAGAAGGAUCAGGGAAAAGAGAAGGAGAAAGACAAGAAGGAAGAGAAGGAGAAAGACAAGAAAGAGGGAGACAAGAAAGACAAGAAAAAGAAGAAGAAGGAGAAAAAGGGAGAGGGAGAUGAAGAUGAUAGCGGCAGCAGCAGCAGCUCCGACAGUGAUUCUGACGAGGGUCACCAUGGUGACAAGAAGGAAAAGGAGAAGGAUAAAGAAUGACUUCUGAGGCACCAAUGGAGGCCACAUUUGUGUUUCCUGCCUUCGCCCAGGUGCUGGGUAGAGUGAAGGAGAAGGGGAUCAAUCGUGAAAAGAUGUACCUGGUGCUGAGGUUUUUUCAUCCAAAUAAAGUUGUCUGAGUACUAAAAAGACAGACUCUGUUUAUUGACCAGUCAAACUCCCCCCUUUCCCCCCAUCAGUAUUGAGCUGUCACUUCCCUCCUUUUACUAAUAAUUACCUGGUAACAUUUUCAAAGCUAUAUACCAAUAUUGGAGCAAAUUUAAUGCGGGCCAUUGGAAUGGGCACUGGACCGGGAGCCAGGUGAUCUGUGUUCUGUCCCUGGCUCUGACCUACUGUGUCUCCUUGGUCAUGUCACCUCACCUCCCUGAGCCUCUGGUUCCCCUCCCACUCUUUGUCUGCUUGAUAGCUCUUCAGGGCUGGGAUUGGCUAUUGCUAUGUGAAUGUAUAGCACCUUGCACAAUGGGGCCCUGAUUUCAGCCAGGACCUCUACCAUAAUACAAAUAAUAAUGGUGUAAGCUCCAUCAGAGCUAAGCGGAGGUAUCACCAAUUACACCACAACUGAAUUUAGCCUAUGGACUUCUGCAGCGCAGACUUUCCCUGGGUUCCUAUGCAGAUGGCGUGACUGUGCACUGUCCCUGAAAGGUUAUGGGAUGGGUGAAUAUUGUUAUCCCCAAUUUAUAGCUGGAUGCUCUCCUGAGACCAAGGAUGGAUCCAGGGAUUCACCCAAGCGAUCCUGCUGCCCAGUCCUGUGCUUAGUCCACUGGAUUAGGCAGCCUUUGGCUUUGCAUGUGUUCCCUUUCCCUCUGUUCAGUUACUGGUUCCUCCCCCUUCUGGCACUCACACAGCUCCUAAGGAAACAAUCAGCAUGGGCAGCUCCUUUGGAAAUCCAGACCUCAUGGUCUGUGAUGGAUCUGUCAGUCAGAGAUGCCCAAACACAAGCCAGAUAUUUCAAAAGGGCUCAGAACAUUCAGGGCUACCAGGCUGUUAAAACCAAAUCUGCUUUGAAAUUUGCUCUUUUAUGUUAAAGUGAAAAACGGGUAAGUUUUGAAUGUUUUGCUCUUUGAAAACUUAAACAUGGCCUCAGCACUGAGGUGAUUAACCGGCUUCUAGGGCACUCUUCAGCCCACGGUGACGCACACAGCUGACUUACGCCGCCCUGCAUCUGACAGUGACUGAUUUAUUUAUUAACCAAUUUAUUUGAGCGUGAGCUUUCGUGAGCUACACUAUAUUGCAUCCGAUGAAGUGAGCUGUAGCUCACGAAAGCUCAUGCUCAAAUAAAUUGGUUAGUCUCUAAGGUGCCACAAGUCCUCCUUUUCUUUUUGCGAAUACAGACUAACACGGCUGUUACUCUGAAACCUGAUUUAUUUAUGGCAAUCGAGCCAUAUUCUUAUAACCACCAUCCAAGCUGAGGGAGCUGCCCUUAAAAAUGAGGCAUCACCUCCAUCUACUGGUGAAAUGGGUUUCUUGCAGCUAAUCUAAAUGUUCCAUAACCAUUACCCCACAUCUGUUUUAUAAGGCUUCCCUGGCAAACCACAUGGCCGCACCGUCUCUGAGAGACCAUGAAAAACCAUUAAAGAUUACAAGCAGGCUGCUGGCACUUGUUUUUUCUGUGCUCUAAUUGUUUACAUUUUGAGAGUGUAUCUCCACGCAGUUAGUAAAUUAUAUAUGUAUGUACAGUCGUUAGUACAUUACAUAAAUACUGUAUAAUUAAUAUGUGGUAUGAAACACUGCAAAGAUCUUACCUAACACACCACAGACCAUUUCAAAUGGGGAACGCUGCCACAGAUCUCUCCUGGCUUUGUAAUUUGGCAGCUGGCACGUUUAAACACCACCACCAGCAGGAGCAGCCUGAGCUAGGCUCCUUGCCCACCCAGGCAACCCCUCUAUAUUAAGGCCCCGAUGCUACAAAGUCUUAUGCACCUGCUUAGCUGACACUGCACUGACUACAGGCUUGUCUACCUGGGGAAACUGACCGGAAAGCUAACCCCGAAUAGCCACUGCACUUUAACUUCACAACCUACCUUACUUCCUUGUGUCGACAAGCCCCUACUUUAGGGCUGGCCACAGCCCUUUAUAGGUGAUCGGCAUCCAGGAGCAGCUGGGGUGUCAAAUGCUCCAGAUCCCCUCCUUCCCCCACCUCCAUUCCCAGUACAGCCUAUACUGAGGGGUUUCAGUGUAGCAUCAUUGGGCCAUCGCCAUGCCAGGCAGGGAUAUUUUCCACGAGGAGUCUUUCUGGUGUUGUAAAGAGGCCUUCGAGUAAGAGAACUGGGCCCUAGGUUUUAAUCCCGAUUGCAGUUUUUAGACUGUAAAGUCUUAAGGGAAGAGAUCAUAUUUUUGUCAUGUAUUUGUAUAGCUGCUAGCACAAUGGGGGGGGGGCGGAUUCAUUAUCGGUGUCCAUCGGCACGACUGCAAUACAAAUAAAUAGUACUAAUAAUCAUGAACUGAAGAAAUAUCAUUUGUACAAAAUAAAGCGAGUGCUCUCCAAAUUUGGACGAUCGGUUUGCUUGUUUUACAAUGAAAAGUAUAUUUUACAUUGACUUUGCUCAGCAAAAGGGGAAAAAAGGAUUUGUUGCUAAAAUGGAUUUCAGACAAACAAGUGUUUAAAAGCCAGGAUCACUGAGGUUUUAUUUAAACCAAAGAACACAACUGCAAAUAUUGUUUCCAUGUAACAUAUACAGCAGGCUCUGAAACAGUCACAACAAACAGCAGAAAAUAAGUUAUGAAAUACUGCACUAAUUAUAGACUUUGGUGAAAAAAAUUAUAGAACGGGGGCAGGGGGACGAAAAGGGGGAGGAGCUGAAUUGCUUUCUCAAUGCACUGCAAGCAGUUGUGGUUUACUAAGCAAACACCAAAUCGAAACUUUGUGCUUUAGUUAUAUUUAGGCUUGGAUGGAUUCGAUUUCUAAUUGGUAAAUGUCAAUUUCACCAUACACACACAAGGGGAUGGAAAAAUAUUUCCACUGAUGAUAAUCAAAAGAUAUGGAGAGGCAAAGUAAAUGAAAUGCUGCUUGAGAAUGUAGUGUUUGAUUUAAAGAUACGUACUGUGUAUAGUUUUGACGUGUGAUGCUGACAAUUUGUGGUUUACUGGUUAUAAAAGCUUUUAACGUUCCGACCUGCAGCAGCUACUGUCAGUGAAUGAUUAUUGUAUGCCCCCACCCCCACUGUCUGAUCCUUCCCUAAUUCUGCACAACUGUGAACAUGUAGAUCACUACAAAUAAAA